rnacentral:sRNA from 1 species
UUUAUUUUCACUGUAUGUACAAUACACGAGAGUAAAUCCGAUUGAGAUAGCCAUACUCCACCCAAUAAAAGUCUUCACCUGUGAACAAUGCAGUAAAGUGACGUAUAAAUUUUAGUAACAUGCAUAACAUUAUGCAAAGAAAAUGAUGCCGAGGAACAGACCCACACAGAAAGCGGCCACUCGACACCACGGCGUUAUGUAGACGUUGUUCCAGAAGGCACCACCGUCUGACUUCAUCCUGUUACAUAUGAAAUUCAUUUUCAAAGUAUUGACUUACAUGUUUAUUCGUUCUUGAUGAAUACUGGUAAAAUAUACCCAUAGAUUCACCAAAAGAUUCAGUGCAUUGCACAAGAAUAAAGGCCGCUUACGUGAAGAAGCUUCCGUUGUACGUGUGUUCUUUGACCCCAGCAGAAACGAUUCCAGCGGUCAUCAGAAGGAAAACAAAACAGGAGCCCAGUUUGAUGUUACUGAGGUUAUAAAUUUUACAUUGUUAGAUUCAAUAAAGAAAAUUGGUACU